rnacentral:rRNA from 1 species
AUGAGGAUUCUUGGGCAGCAGCACCAGACAGGGAGACCGUGGCUGUGCGUGGGAGAUUUUAACGAGAUUCUCACAUGUGAUGAGAAGUGUGGGGGAGCGGUCCGACCUCAAACAUGCAUGGAACGAUUCAGGGAGGCAUUGGAAGGCUGUGAGUUAUCGGACAUUGGUUACAUGGGGGAUAAGUUCACAUGGCGUAACCACAACAAGGAUGAGAGACUUGACCGGGCGACUGCUAAUACGCAAUGGUGUGAGGCGUUCCCGGACUUUUCGGUGUUGAAUGGGAAUCCCAGGCAUUCGGAUCACCGGCCGGUGAUU